CGCCACACUGGCGCCCUGGAAGUCCCCCUGCGCCGACGCCUUAUUGGUCUGCGGGGGAGAGAGGGGGCGGAGUCAGAACAGAGUCGGUGUUUUGGUGAUGCCGCACGGCGAUAAAACUGUCGCUCCCGAAUAGUUCUGCUGCUGUAAUCCCCCUAAAUGUCCCUGUAAUCCCGGCUAUAUCGCAGGCGCAAUUACGCCACUGCGCGACCCUGCCGAAAACUCUCCCUCUCUCCCGGACACUGUGCGGCAGGACAGCGGCUCCCAAACAGGGGCCGGGACCCACGGGGGAGUCACUGAGAAAAUGCAGGACGGGGUCUAAAUAUUUAUAUCUGGCAACACUGGCUGUACUUACCUUUUGGGAAAGGUAAAAAGCAGCGAUCCCCAGCGGCCAGAAGCAACAGAGCAUGGAGAAGAACGCCAGUCCCAGGUAGUCCUGCGGGAUCAUUAGCGGGAAGUCGCUCUCGCUGUCCGUGUCGCUGAAGUCUUCGCUCGAAGAGUCCUGACAAGACAACAGAUGCGCGCAGAUGUUAGGCUGUGUUUGUACUUACUCCUGCUGAUUAAAAAAAAAAAAAAAAAAAUUUGUUAUAAAAGAACGCAUUCUCUCGCAGAGUCAGGGGUCAAUUCCAUUUCAGUUCAGCGAGGCCAGGGACUAACUGAAAAAAAAAUCUGACCAUGAAUUUGAAAAAAAAAAAAAAAAAAAAAAAAAACAA